rnacentral:rRNA from 1 species
UACGGAGGUCUCAAGCGUUGUUCGGAUUCAUUGGGCGUAAAGGGUGCGUAGGCGGCGCGGUAAGUCGGGUGUGAAAUUUCGGAGCUUAACUCCGAAACUGCAUUCGAUACUGCCGUGCUUGAGGACUGGAGAGGAGACUGGAAUUUACGGUGUAGCAGUGAAAUGCGUAGAGAUCGUAAGGAAGACCAGUGGCGAAGGCGGGUCUCUGGACAGUUCCUGACGCUGAGGCACGAAGGCCAGGGGAGCAAACGGG